AUGAGAACGCUCGCGGUUGUGUCCGUGCUAGCCACGGCGGCCAUGGCCAUCGCCUGCGCGCACGCCGCACAGUGCGGUUCACAGGCCGGCCGGGCGACCUGCCCGAACUGCCUCUGCUGCAGCCGCUUCGGCUGGUGCGGCUCUACCCUAGAGUACUGUGGCGACGGCUGCCAGAGCCAGUGCUCUGGCUGCGGCACGCCCGACCCCUCUGGUGGUGGCGUUUCCUCCAUCAUCUCCCGCUCACUCUUUGACCGGAUGCUGCUGCACCGCAACAACGGGGCGUGCCAAGCUAAGGGAUUCUACACCUACGACGCCUUCCUAGCGGCCGCGGCCGCCUUUCCAGGGUUCGGCACCACAAGCAGCACCGCCACCCGAAAGCGUGAGGUGGCCGCCUUCCUAGCACAGACCUCCCAUGAGACCACCGGCGGGUGGGCUACAGCCCCAAACGGGCCCUACGCGUGGGGCUAUUGCUUCAAACAGGAGCGCGCUAAGUCCAACUACUGCACCCCAAGCGUGAUAUGGCCAUGUGCCCCUGGAAGACGCUACUAUGGCCGAGGGCCCAUCCAGCUCUCUCACAACUAUAACUAUGGGCCGGCGGGCCGCGGCAUCGGGGCUGACCUGCUAGGCAACCCGGGCUUGGUGGCCACAGACUCGACCGUGUCAUUCAAGACGGCAAUUUGGUUCUGGAUGACAGCGCAGCCACCCAAGCCCUCGAGCCACGCGGUCAUAACGGGCCACUGGAAUCCUUCAGCAGCGGACCGGGUUGCGGGGCGAGUGCCUGGCUUCGAUGUGAUCACCAACAUCGUCAACGGCGGGAAGGAGUGCGGGCAUGGGUAUGAUAAGCGUGUUUCUGACCGGAUCGGGUUUUACAAGCGCUACUGCCACAUCCUUGGCGUCACCCACGGUGACAGCCUUGACUGCUACAACCAGGAGCAUUUUCCUAUAAAUUUUUCUUGA
rnacentral:rRNA from 1 species